GACGAACGCUGGCGGCGUGCUUAACACAUGCAAGUCGAACGGAAAGGCCUCAGCUUGCUGGGGAACUCGAGUGGCGAACGGGUGAGUAACACGUGGGUGAUCUGCCUUGCACUCUGGGAUAAGCUUGGGAAACUGGGUCUAAUACCGGAUAUGAACUGCCUUUAGUGUGGUGGUUGGAAAGUUUUUUCGGUGCAAGAUGAGCUCGCGGCCUAUCAGCUUGUUGGUGGGGUAAUGUCCUACCAAGUCGUCGGCGGGUAGCCGGCCUGAGAGUGUGUAGGGCAACAGUGAGACUGAGACACGGACCAGACUCCGACUGGAGGGAGCAGUAGGGAAUGUUGAACAAGGGGCGGAGGCCUGAUGCAGCGACGCCGCGUGGGGGAGGACGGCCUUCGGGUUGGAAUCUCCAUUCGACAGGGACGAAGAUAUUUGUGACGGUACCUGUAGAAGAAGCACCGGCUAACUACGUG
rnacentral:rRNA from 1 species